rnacentral:lncRNA from 1 species
GGGCGGGAUUUUUGGACACCAAAAACGAAAGUCUACACUGGAACAUAAAUAGAAGCCACAUGAGAGAUAUUAGAACUCACACUCACACUCAGGCUCACCAACACACACACAUACUCUGGCGCCUAGCAGAGUCCUGUGGGUUUCUCUGCAAUCCAAUCCACUGUUUGUUGGGAAAUCUGCUCAGAGGAUACCAUGAGAGGCCUCCUGUUCCUCAGCCUGCUCCUUCUCUGUACCACCGACCUAGCCUGGAGCGGUACCAACGACGCAGAAGACUGCUGCCUGUCUGUUACCAGCCUCAUCAUCCCCCGCCACAUCGUGUGUGCUUAUCGCCGUCUCAGCCCAGAGAACGGCUGCCGACUGCCCGCAGUAGUGUGAGUGAGCCGUAGCGGGGGUCCAUCCUUCCACUCCUUCCCUUCCCAGUCUUCUCUCCAUGGCCCAUGUGCUUCCAGUCACUGUAAGCCCACAUCUGCCGCCAAAAAACAAUUCCUGGCGCAUGAACUUCAUCCACCCCGGCCUCUUGCAAUUUCGAUUUCUAUCUCUGUUUUGGGUUCUGGUCUCGUCCCUACACCUGCCCGUAUCUCUGCCUCUUUAUCAGCCUUGGGGGAUGCAUCUGCCAGCUAAAAGGGAGUGCUUACUUCCUUCCAACCUCUGACCCUAGGUUCACUACACAGAAAUGUCACCAGCUCUGUGCUCCCCCCUGAACGGCUUUGGGUGAAACGUCUCAUUAAGAGACUGGAUAAAAACGAUUCCCAGGUAAGCACCUUCCCAUCCAGUUCUCAAUCCUAGUCCCACUCCUCCCCAAAUUCAAUCCAAGUCUCAGUCCUCCCUUUUCCCAUACCCCUCAAGUCUCCUCCCUUUAGUAACAUCAAGUGACCCUCAAGGACCUCCACUGACCCCCUAGUGACCUUCAAUGACGCCCGGUAACCCUAGAUCAUUUUUCCUCUUCCUUCAGUACAAGUGCAACUGCAGUUAGUUUUAGGCACAGGACAAGAUGAGGAAAGAAUUUGGACAGCAGGAUGGAAGUAUUUGAUCCAGCAGCCGAUAUGAGAGGAGGUCAUGAUGCCCCAGGACUGAUGAGGAAAGAGAAUCCAAGAAUCUAGCCCUCAGCUGCAGCCUGGAACUGAGAUGGGGUUGCUGGGGGGGUGGGGGUGGGGGUGAGGGAGAGAGGACAAAGAGUAGUUUCUGAGGUGUGAGCUUGAGUGUGAGUGUGAGUACUCAAGGCUGUGCAACACAGGCUCUGGGACCAUUUAAUAAAGGGUUUGAUGCUGGAAGUGGAAUGACUUUA